rnacentral:rRNA from 1 species
AAUAGAUACCCGGGUAGUCCACGCCGUAAACGGUGGGCACUAAAUGUGGGGUUCAUUCCAUGGAUUCCGCGUCGCAGCUAACGCAUUAAGUGCCCCGCCUGGGGAGUACGGCCGCAAGGCUAAAACUCAAAGGAAUUGACGGGGGCCCGCACAAGCGGCGGAGCAUGCGGAUUAAUUCGAUGCAACGCGAAGAACCUUACCAAGGCUUGACAUAUACGGUCUAUCCCUAGAGAUAGGGAGUGCUUCGGCGCCGUAUACAGGUGGUGCAUGGUUGUCGUCAGCUCGUGUCGUGAGAUGUUGGGUUAAGUCCCGCAACGAGCGCAACCCUCGUUCUAUGUUGCCAGCACGUAAUGGUGGGGACUCAUAGAAGACUGCCGGGGUCAACUCGGAGGAAGGUGGGGAUGAGGUCAAAUCAUCAUGCCCCUUAUGUCUUGGGCUUCACGCAUGCUACAAUGGCCGGUACAAAGGGCUGCAAUACCGUAAGGUGGAGCGAAUCCCAAAAAGCCGGUCUCAGUUCGGAUUGAGGUCUGCAACUCGG